rnacentral:rRNA from 1 species
UCGCACCUACCGAUUGAAUGGUCCGGUGAAGCCUCGGGAUUGUGACCAGUUUCCUUCAUUGGGAGUUGGUUGCGAGAACUUGUGUAAACCUUAUCACUUAGAGGAAGGUG